rnacentral:rRNA from 1 species
GGACCAACGCUGGNGGUCGUGCUUAACACAUGCAAGUCGAACGAUGAACCUCCUUCGGGAGGGGAUUAGUGGCGAACGGGUGAGUAACACGUGGGCAAUCUGCCCUUCACUCUGGGACAAGCCCUGGAAACGGGGUCUAAUACCGGAUACGACACGGGGUCGCAUGACCUCCGUGUGGAAAGCUCCGGCGGUGAAGGAUGAGCCCGCGGCCUAUCAGCUUGUUGGUGGGGUGAUGGCCUACCAAGGCGACGACGGGUAGCCGGCCUGAGAGGGCGACCGGCCACACUGGGACUGAGACACGGCCCAGACUCCUACGGGAGGCAGCAGUGGGGAAUAUUGCACAAUGGGCGAAAGCCUGAUGCAGCGACGCCGCGUGAGGGAUGACGGCCUUCGGGUUGUAAACCUCUUUCAGCAGGGAAGAAGCGAAAGUGACGGUACCUGCAGAAGAAGCGCCGGCUAACUACGUGCCAGCAGCCGCGGUAAUACGUAGGGCGCAAGCGUUGUCCGGAAUUAUUGGGCGUAAAGAGCUCGUAGGCGGCUUGUCACGUCGGAUGUGAAAGCCCGGGGCUUAACCCCGGGUCUGCAUUCGAUACGGGCAGGCUAGAGUUCGGUAGGGGAGAUCGGAAUUCCUGGUGUAGCGGUGAAAUGCGCAGAUAUCAGGAGGAACACCGGUGGCGAAGGCGGAUCUCUGGGCCCGAUACUGACGCUGAGGAGCGAAAGCGUGGGGAGCGAACAGGAUUAGAUACCCUGGUAGUCCACGCCGUAAACGUUGGGAACUAGGUGUGGGCGACAUUCACGUCGUCGUGCNCANNUACGCAUAANUNCCCCCUGGGAAUCCGGCNCAGGCUAAACNAAAGAAUGACGGGGNCCNCCAACNCCGACUNUGNUUNUUUACCACCGAAACUACAGGUNNNUACCGAANCUGAAAGGCCCUNGGCGGNNGGGGCUGGNNNACUUGCGGANUGGUAUCCAAACCACUNUUUUCNUCUNGGAGGNNANAUNGNNUGGAGGGANAAUCCUUUGUCCNAGCCANUNCGGGANANCUUNNGNCCCAGUNAANUGACCCCCCCANCNCCGGGGGGGNANNG